GAAUAAUUUUCCACAAAAAAUUGGAUUUUAACCAGGAUAGGAAAAUGAGAACCUGCGCCUAUCCGUUUAAACCGAUUGUAGAAUUUAUGGAAAGAUAUGGCGAUCUGAGUAUGCCCACUGAAGGGCCCCAAAAAAGAGCCAACAAUAGUCAACGGUGGGUGGAACUAACGGACACGCGAACGUGAAAUGCUGAUGCCACC